GGUCGCGUGGCCUAAUGGCAAGGCGUCAGUUUUCGGUAUUCAUCUGGGAAACAGUUGGAUGUCAUCCACUGAAGAUUGCGAGUUCGAUCCUCGUCGCGAUCA